rnacentral:lncRNA from 1 species
UAAAUUUUUUUCAUAUCUUCUCAUCUCACAUCUGGUUUUGCUUUUUCUUUUUUUUCUUUGUGGAGAGGAAAUUCCUUCAAGAGGUCAACGUCAAUGUAUCCUGCUGUUGCUUUCAGCUCCAUCUCCUCUAUGAAAAGUGUAUUCUUUUGGAAAUGAAGGAAACAGAGAGCCUGGAUUAUCUUUCUUGGCCAGGUCAUCUUCAAAGUAGAUCUCGGAUAUCCUUGGGAAUACCACAUGAGGACACCAGUAUUCUCCAAGUGCUUUGAUUUUUCAUCAAGAUUGCAGUAGGAAUUCUAUGGUGGCUCAUAUUCUCUGUAUCAGUUACCAGUAUUCG